ensembl:lincRNA
ACAAGUUAUGAGGGAUCCCCUGCCCCAGGAACAGCCUAAGAUCUCAAGAAGAGGAAGAGGAAACCCACAAACAAACAGCUUUUCCAGCUUCAUCUGCCCCCACCUCCCCCAGCCCUGGACUGGUGGGAUCCAGAAGGAAGGGCCCAAACUGCAGCCUCAUAAACCUUCCCGAAAGCCCUCAUAAACAGCAGGCCUGGCUGGUGCCACAUCUGGUGCUGCAAAAAGCAAAAUCUCUGGUUGUAAAGUAAUCCUCAUAAAAAAAAGAGAGUAAAGAAAAAAACCUCUGUGAUAAAUACAGUAAUGACCUCUAGGAAACAAGGAAAAGGAGCCCAAGUUCCUAUGACUGCAAAGGGAAGUGGGGCUUCAGCCCCAGCAGACACCACCCAAAAGACUCACUUCCAAUCCAAUUUCCAACCCUGAAAAUGCAAGAUCUUCCACAAAUGCAGAAUCUUCACAGUGGGCUGAUUUCUUUAAGGAACUGGGAUAAAAAUAACAAUAAGGUCAAGACCACAGUGACCUCUGGACUCCAGCCCCUGGCUAAGAAUGCAAUCUACCUGUCCACGGGCCAGUGUGAUGCAAGAUGUCAAGGGAUGGUGAUCACUGAGAGACCAAAGAUUUCCUCUGAAUUUGCCUGGAUUUUCACACUUGAUUGUUCACUGUCAAAAGGAAGAACAGGUGUACCUACAGCAACCUGGCUGCAGAAAUCUACAUUCUCCUUAUUCUGAGAAACCCCCCAAAAUACUACCACCAAAGUAGAAACCAAAUUUAUCCUGAAUUGACAUGUACCCCCUAACCCCAGCCCAACUCCAUACUCCUCUCUGUCAAGGAAGCAAAAUCAAUUUCCUUUGCUUUAGAUACCAGCAUGUAGGCUUGUGGACUUCCAAAUGCUGUCUUCCAAGAACUUGGAGUUUAAACACGAUCCCUUGGGUGAUAUGUCCAAAGAAGUUCUCACUGAAAUUCCCCGCAUCGUAAAAUGUCAGGAUGUCUGCGGUCUUUAUUUAUAGACAGAUUGCUUUUCAACUUUUCUCACUCCAACAUUUCAAUGUGUUAUUCCUGAAGAUAAAUGCAC